rnacentral:rRNA from 1 species
CGAUUCGCCCUUCGGGGCGCACCAGGCGCGAAAACUUUACAAUGCCGGCAACGGCGAUAAGGGAACCUCGAGUGCCAGGUUACAAAUCUGGCUGUCGUGAUGCCUAAAAAGCAUUGCAUAGCAAGGGCCGGGCAAGACCGGUGCCAGCCGCCGCGGUAACACCGGCGGCUCGAGUGGUAACCGUUAUUAUUGGGUCUAAAGGGUCUGUAGCCGGCCGGGUAAGUCUCUUGGGAAAUCUGGCAGCUUAACUGUCAGGCUUUCAGGAGAUACUGCCUGGCUCGAGGCCGGGAGAGGUGAGAGGUACUUCAGGGGUAGGGGUGAAAUCUUGUAAUCCUUGAAGGACCACCAGUGGCGAAGGCGUCUCACCAGAACGGACCUGACGGCAAGGGACGAAAGCUAGGGGCACGAACCGGAUUAGAUACCCGGGUAGUCCUAGCCGUAAACGAUACUCGCUAGGUGUCGGCCACGGUGCGACCGUGGUCGGUGCCGUAGGGAAGCCGUGAAGCGAGCCACCUGGGAAGUACGGCCGCAAGGCUGAAACUUAAAGGAAUUGGCGGGGGAGCAC